rnacentral:lncRNA from 1 species
UUUAAGGGCAUAUAUCUAACAUAAUUAUUUUGACAAAUGUCGUCCACCUUUGGUAAAUUCCAUCUCCUAGGUAGUACCCAUCCGAGUUGAUGGUAUUGUUGAUUUGAUACGUGAUCUGAGGGGAAGGUACUCUCAACACAUCGUUGAACACCAGAGAUUGACCGAACACAUUAAGGUCAUUUUAAGAUCCCGCAACUCCAAAAAAGGCAUGUCAAACCCUAGGUAUCAAAUGAUGCAACGACCUCAAGAAUGAUACUUUUUUGGCCCUUCCUAUUCCCAUAGUAUCCUUGACAAGCAGUUGGGCAAUUCUUCCACUGCCAGUGCAUGCAGCUGACUCUUCCAAUCAUGCUGGGAAACCUCGAGCCUCAGCUUUUUGCAGAAACCUUUGGAGGUCCCUAAGCUUAAGUUUGUGGAGGUAAUCUUUCAUGUAAGGAGUUUUGAUUGCCUCACAGAUUAUGACUAAGCACUCUGGGAUAGUGGAUUUCCCCAUCCUAGCAAUUUCAUCCACUUAGUCUGCAGAUGUGUCAUACGCAAGCAUUCGUAAGGAAGUUGUAAGUUUUUGCUCUGGAAGAAGACCCAAAACCCUAGCAGCAUUGCACUUUUGAACGAAGUAUGAGUUGUAAUAGCAAACAUCAUGCAUGAUUUUACUGAACAAAUGGGGUUGCAUUCUAAAUCGCCC